AUGGAUGUAGCCAAGUGGUAAGGCGAUGGAUUUUGAAUCCAUCAUCAUAGGUUCGAUUCCUAUCAUCCAUA